GAUGAACGCUGGCGGCGCGCCUAACACAUGCAAGUCGAACGAUUAAAGCACCUUCGGGUGUGUAUAAAGUGGCGAACGGCUGAGUAACACGUGGGCAACCUGCCUUUUACUUUGGGAUAGCCUCGGGAAACCGAGGAUAAUACCGAAUACUUUGUAUGUAUCGCAUGGUAUAUACAAGAAAGCUUUUGCGGUAAAAGAUGGGCCCGCGGCCUGUUAGCUUGUUGGUGAGGUAACGGCUCACCAAGGCAAUGAUGGGUAGCCGGGUUGAGAGACCGACCGGCCAGAUUGGGACUGAGACACGGCCCAGACUCCUACGGGAGGCAGCAGUGGGGAAUCUUGCGCAAUGGGGGAAACCCGGACGCAGCGACGCCGCGUGCGGGAUGAAGGCCUUCGGGUUGUAAACCGCUUUCAGCAGGGACGAGGCCUUAUGGUGACGGUACCUGCAGAAGAAGCUCCGGCUAAAUACGUGCCAGCAGCCGCGGUAAUACGUAUGGAGCAAGCGUUAUCCGGAUUCAUUGGGCGUAAAGCGCUCGUAGGCGGUCUGUUAGGUCGGCAAGUUAAAUCCGGGGGCUCAACCCCCGUCCGCUUCCGAUACCGGCAGACUUGAGUUUGGUAGGGGAAGGUGGAAUUCCUAGUGUAGCGGUGGAAUGCGCAGAUAUUAGGAAGAACACCGGUGGCGAAGGCGGCCUUCUGGGCCAUAACUGACGCUGAGGAGCGAAAGCUAGGGGAGCGAACAGG
rnacentral:rRNA from 1 species